rnacentral:rRNA from 1 species
UACGAAGGGGGCGAGCGUUGUUCGGAAUUACUGGGCGUAAAGGGCGCGCAGGCGGCUCUGAAAGUCAGAUGUGAAAGCCCCGGGCUUAACCUGGGAACUGCAUUUGAUACUCUAGAGCUUGAGUACGGGAGAGGAGAGUGGAAUUCCCAGUGUAGAGGUGAAAUUCGUAGAUAUUGGGAAGAACACCGGUGGCGAAGGCGGGUCUCUGGGCCGUUACUGACGCUGAGGAGCGAAAGCGUGGGGAGCGAACAGG